rnacentral:tRNA from 3 species
GGGCGAGUGAUGGAACAGGUAGACAUGCAUGACUUAGGAUCAUGUGCCGCCAGGCGUCGGGGUUCGAAUCCCCGCUCGCCCACCA